ACGCCAGUAGCUCAACGGAUAGAGCACCGGAUUUCUAAUCCGGCGGUUGUGGGUUCGAUUCCCUCCUGGCGUGCCA
rnacentral:tRNA from 1 species